UGUUGAUGUGAUGAGUUUGUCAUGUCUCUUCUCUGAUUUGCCGUGGAGAAAGAAUUUGCAUCUCUGAUCACGGCA
rnacentral:snoRNA from 1 species